rnacentral:misc_RNA from 1 species
GAUGAAGAACGUAGCGAAAUGCGAUACUUGGUGUGAAUUGCAGAAUCCCGUGAACCAUCGAGUCUUUGAACGCAAGUUGCGCCCGAAGCCUCGGCUAAGGGCACGUCUGCCUGAGCGUCACGCAUCGCGUCUCCCCCAAACCGCCAAGGCGGAGGGGAAGGAAGAUGGCUUCCCGUGCCUCACCCGGCGCGGUUGGCCUAAAUUUGGAGCCCGCGGCACUUAGCUCUCGCGGCGAUAGGUGGUGAACAAGGCCUUGGCCGUGCAAACAACCCGCUGCGAAGCUCUAUGUCACGUGCGCUCGUCGGACCCUUUGAAGUUGCCUUCGGUGACUUAAAACCUUUGCGACCCCAGGUCAGGCGGGGCUACCCGCUGAAUUUAAGCAUAUCAAUAAGCGGAGGA